UACAGAGGGCGCAAGCGUUGUUCGGAUUUACUGGGCGUAAAGGGCGUGUAGGCGGAGAUGCAAGUCGGGGGUGAAAGGCCAGGGCUCAACCCGGGACGGUCUUCCGAAACUGCAUCUCUCGAGAAAGUCAGAGGCAGGUGGAAUUCCAGGUGUAGAGGUGAAAUUCGUAGAGAUCUGGAGGAACACCGGCGGCGAAGGCGGCCUGCUGGGGCUUUUCUGACGCUGAGGCGCGAAAGCGUGGGGAGCAAACAGG
rnacentral:rRNA from 1 species